rnacentral:rRNA from 1 species
CGCCUGUUUAUCAAAAACAUAACCGUGUGUGCAAUAUACGCGGCAAUUUCUGCUCCAUGAGACAUUAAAUAGCCGCAGUACACUGACUGUGCAAAGGUAGCAUAAUCAUUUGGCUUAUAAUUGAAGUCUAGUAUGAACGAAUAUAUGGUUGGGGACUGUCUCCCUGGAACUCUCUGAACUUACUUAGUAGGUGAAAAUACCUACAAAAUCAAAAUAGACGAGAAGACCCUAGAAAUUUUAACCAGAGGGUGUGAUACACUGCACGUUUUUGUUGGGGCGACAAAAUAACAACGAACUUAUUGUUGUAGAUUUGAACUAAAUGUUGUGUAAAUGUAAAUUACUCUAGGGAUAACAGCAUAAUUCAUAGUGAGCUUGUGACCUCGAUGUUGGACUAGGGACCCGCCAGCCCAGAAGACUGGUGGGCUUGUUCUGUUCGAACAGUUUUCCCCUACGUGAUCUGAGUUCAGACCGG